rnacentral:lncRNA from 10 species
UGUCUUUACUGAUUUCAAAAACAUAUGUGAUAUUACAUAAAAUAUUAAAAUCAGUCUUUAGAACAGCUUGGUUACACACAGGGAAUAUGGGGAUAAUGGGAAUAACAAUUCAAGAUGAGAUUUUGGCUGGGGUAACAGCCAAACCCUAUCACCAAUCUUUCUCUUAGAGAUAUUGUUUGGGCCAAGGUUCAGACGAAGCCAUGGUUGGAAGGGAGAAGUAUUGGGGGCCAUAGUGGGCCGCAUGUAGACAUCCGCCAGCAUUAUCUGAGCAUCUGUUAACAAUAUCCACUGAAUCUUCCACAGUGCCCAGCACACAGCUGGUGCUUCAUAAAUAAAUGUGGCCUGAACUGCAUCACAUUUAUUAAGAUCAAGAUGAAACAAACCACUGCUUACCAUCAAUAUUUUUAAUACACUAUAUAAUUA